AUGAGACAAGGAUGUCCUUUUUACCACUGAGCUUGUUCUAAGUUUCCUCUGGACCUCCUCUGUUGAUAAGCUAGUGGGGACUUGAGGAGUGAGGCUGGAAGUCCAGCCUCCCUGCCAACACCUCAGGGAUGAAGGAGAAAAACAAGGAGAGAAAAAUCUAAACCCAGCAGAAGAGAAAGUUUAAGAAAGCGGUCGUCGCCAAUACCAAAAUUAGCUAUGAUAUUCAGGAAGAAAAAAAUGGAAACACGAUAACCACAGUCAAUAAAGACCAAGGCCACAUUCCAUUGACCAGAGCUCAGCCACGCGCCACACCUGGCUAAAGAGACUCUGGCUGAAGAAUUCCCUGAAUAUUUUAAUGUAGCUCUAGGUUAUAACACAGAACAACCACAAGGUGGCAGAAGAACUCCAUUCUUGUAAAUCUCUUAGUUGCUUCUUUAUUUCAUCUUCCCUAUUCCAUCUAAUGUUCCCUGAAUUUUACUAUUUUGUUGGUUUGAAAAUAUGUGUGACUUACGUCCUUUAAAGGAUUUGGUUCGUAAGGUUUUGAAUAGACUGGAAUAUAAAACAUUUAUAGAAAAGAAAAAUACCUACAGUAUGAUGUUAGUGAACUAUUAAUAAUCCAAUUAAAUAAAAUAUAUUUGCUUUGGAUUAAUACAUAUUUUGUUUUGAUGUUUGCUAAAUAAAACUAAGCAUUAGGAGGCCAAAUAGCCACAAUGAACAUUUUCAUAUUAUUUAAUAAGCCAGUUUCAAGGCAUACAUGCUAAAUUUGUUCUUAAGGAAAAGUUGAAUUUUUGCUUUCAUGAAAUUACAAACUCUAAGGCAAUUUUACACGUGUAAAUCCAAUGUGUUCUGAAGUUUAAAGUGUCAAAGGCUGUUGGAUUUAAACAGAUCUUGUAUGACUCUCUGUUUCAUCUCUUCAGAGGUUGAUAGUAAGCAACUUUGGCAGCAACUCACAGCUUCUGCUGUAACAUGAGGCUAAUAAUGACGACUUUAUAAGGUUGUUGCAAAGAGUCAGGGAUGCCACAAGCAACGUUCUUUAUAUAUGCAGAAUUUUAAAAAUAAAGUAAAUAAAAAUAUUCCUUCCUCUAUUCCCCAUUUUUCUAACAUUAUUUGCAACUGGUGUUUUAAUGCAAGACCAAAGGCUAAAAUAUACAUGUAGCUAGCAGAAUCAAAACCUAGAUCAGAUGUUCAAAAGCAUCAUGCUGCUAAAAGAUUUCAGAGUCUAAAACCUGUGCUCACUCUUCUGAAACAUCUUUCCACUUCCUGUUUAAAAAAAAACGUGAUAUUCUUUGAAGCUCAUUUUUUGGGCUUCAUGUGUUGUAAUUAUACAUUUGUUAUAUAGGGUAUAUGAUGACUUACGCUCUAAGGUAUUAUUCAGUACAUUGUAGAAAAAGGAGAAUAAAGAAUGUUGUUUGUCAGUAGGCAGCUCUGUCCUCUUUAUCCUUGACUGUAAUUUACUAAAGAGCUGACAAAAUUACAGCACAGGCAGCAAUUCACCAUAUUACCCUGCAGACAGCCAAGAGACUGACAUUGAGAUGAUGCGUUUUAACUUGGGUCCAUGUAAGGAACCUGAUGGGGUUAUAUGAAUUCUUUUCUGUACUAUGAAAAAAUGAAGUUGCUAAUAAGAAGGAGGUACAAAAGUGUGUACUCUGCGCAAGGCUACUGAUAAAGAUGCUACAGGGAUGCGUGGAAACCCAAUAUGUAACACUGAAAUGGCUUUUGAUUCAUUUGUAUUUGGUCUCAGACAAGAAAAUAGAUUAAGAAAAGGUCUGAAAAAAUGGAGCACUAGGAAAAAUGAUAGGAAAUUUUGUGUUGUUGAUAGUUAUCUAAUAUGAAAUACACGUUUGUAAUAUUUUGACAUAUAUGAUUUAAUACAACUAUAUUUUGUAAUAAAUAUCUUUAAUUCUAAGGAUUGAAAAUCUUAAAAGGAUCUAAAUUUUAUAGUUAUAGCUGUUUUGUUUCAAUAGGCUGAUGGACUUGGAAAUUCCAGGUUUCUUAAACAUAUUCGAUGAACUUGAAAAGCAGGGGGAGAUACUUUCAGAUGGCCUUGAAUGGGAGCGGGGGGACCCUGGAUUUCACUGGACACAUCUUUCUUCCUUUCUUCUCUGUAGUUUGGGACCUCUUCUUCUCAACUAGUCAGCAAUUAUAAGAAUGAAAAUUACCAGCCGGGCGCGAUGGCUCACGCCUGUAAUCCCAGCCCUUUGGGAGGCCAAGGCGGGGGGAUCACGAGGUCAGAAGAUCGAGACCAUCCUGGCUAACACGGUGAAACCCCGUCUCUACUAAAAAAUACAAAGAAUCAGCCGGGCAUGGUGGCGGGUGCCUGUAGUCCCAGCUACUCAGGAGACUGAGGCAGGAGAAUGGUGUGAAUC
rnacentral:lncRNA from 1 species